UACGUAGGUGGCAAGCGUUGACCGGAUUUAUUGGGUUUAAAGGGUGCGUAGGCGGCUUUGUAAGUCAGUGGUGAAAUAUGGCAGCUCAACUGUCAAGGUGCCAUUGAUACUGCAGAGCUUGAGUACAGAUGAGGUAGGCGGAAUUGACGGUGUAGCGGUGAAAUGCUUAGAUAUCGUCAAGAACACCUAUAGCGAAGGCAGCUUACUAGGCUGUAACUGACGCUGAGGCACGAAAGUGUGGGGAUCAAACAGG
rnacentral:rRNA from 1 species